rnacentral:rRNA from 1 species
GAUGAACGCUGGCGGCGUGCCUAACACAUGCAAGUCGAGCGAUCUUCUUCGGAAGAGAGCGGCGGACGGGUGAGUAACGCGUGGGUAACCUGCCCUGUACACACGGAUAACAUACCGAAAGGUAUGCUAAUACGGGAUAACAUAAGAAAGUCGCAUGGCUUUCUUAUCAAAGCUUUUGCGGUACAGGAUGGACCCGCGUCUGAUUAGCUAGUUGGUAAGGUAACGGCUUACCAAGGCGACGAUCAGUAGCCGACCUGAGAGGGUGAUCGGCCACAUUGGAACUGAGACACGGUCCAAACUCCUACGGGAGGCAGCAGUGGGGAAUAUUGCACAAUGGGCGAAAGCCUGAUGCAGCAACGCCGCGUGAGCGAUGAAGGCCUUCGGGUCGUAAAGCUCUGUCCUCAAGGAAGAUAAUGACGGUACUUGAGGAGGAAGCCCCGGCUAACUACGUGCCAGCAGCCGCGGUAAUACGUAGGGGGCUAGCGUUAUCCGGAAUUACUGGGCGUAAAGGGUGCGUAGGCGGUCUUUCAAGUCAGAAGUGAAAGGCUACGGCUCAACCGUAGUAAGCUUUUGAAACUGUAAGACUUGAGUGCAGGAGAGGAGAGUGGAAUUCCUAGUGUAGCGGUGAAAUGCGUAGAUAUUAGGAGGAACACCAGUUGCGAAGGCGGCUCUCUGGACUGUAACUGACGCUGAGGCGCGAAAGCGUGGGGAG